UCGCUUGUGCGUAUAUGUUUGUGUGCAUUCAAACCUUCUAGAAAAAAAAAUGUCCUUCAUGUGUUUUGAUGUUUUAGUAUUCAGAUAUGAAUAGAUCUAAGAUAUUGAGGUUUCGAGAAUAAUACAAAUCUCCGAAUAUCGGAGAAUUGGAGAUUUACGAGAAAUAAACUCUGUUAAACGCCAAACUUCCGUCAAAAAUAUAAACUCCGAUAAACACCCGCCGAUUUUUAAGAAAAAUAAACACCGAAAACACUGAGCUCUACAAGAUAUUCACUUAAGAGGGUGUUGAGGCGAGCUCGUUCGUACGGAAUCAUUAGAAUGCAGCGCUUAAAACACAAACACACGGGGCGAGAACGAGGACGGGCACUGGGAACGAGGACAGCGCCCGUGCUCGUUCUCGCCCCUUGUGUUUGUGUUCUUUAAGCGCUGCAUUCUAAAAGAUAUUCACAGUGAACAUCAACACACAUUCACACCACACAUUUCACGAUGGACGAGCCAGGCCACCGCUAUGGCUGAAUAUCACAAAAGCAAAUCCUAAUCCACAUUUGCACUUUCUGUAUACACACACACAAACACGAAUCACAUUUGCGGCUUCUCAGACGUGCGCUUUUCGUGUGAUGCUCACGGGAAAUACACACACACACGCACGCACGCUCCAUUCAUUCAUAACUUCGGGCUAAGCACGAGGAUCGUGCUGCACGAACACAACACAAACACGCAUGACAUUUGCGGCUUCGCAGACGUUGCAUUUUGGUUUGAUGCUUGCUGCUGCGUUCGAUUUAGGAAUGCAGGUGGUAGCAGGUGGUGCUCUUGGGGAAUUACGCGCAACAUACACAGCCACCAUUCUUUCGGAACUUCGGGCUAAGCACGGGGUUUAUGCUGCACAAACAGAACAACGGCGUACCGCACGAAGACAGCUGUAACAAUCAUCGUACAAUCGCGUAUGCAACGACUACGAACAGCUGUUGCCCCGUCAACAUAGUGCUGUCCUUAAAGUGACGGCGGUGACGGGCCUCCUCACCUAGUUUUAUAAUUACUUCGGUUACUUGUGCCUAUAAAUUACAAACCACUCGUGUUAUUCGCUCCUGUUGAUGAAAAGUUAACAGUAUAAUGAUGAUUUAAACAACAACUUUAAAAACAAUUUGUCAUGUUUGCGGCUGUUACUUUUAACAAGCGGUAGGUAGCGCUGCGCUUCUUCCUUUUUUUUUUUUUUCCCGCGCCCCAUGGAGAAAAAAAAAAUGGCUCGACACUUUUGUGUUUCUUCACGCAGCAACGUGAUCGGCGUGUUUUCGAUGAUCUCGACGCUCAGCAAGAUCCAUUGUGCAGUGUUAAGUUCAGAAAUGUUUUCCUCAUCGUAUGCAGCAGUGAAUUCUCUUGUGCGCUUCGUCGUUUCCGCCCGCUGGAUAUCGACGAUUUUGACAAAGAACUCUACGAAGUCUUGCGGGCUGGCGAGGAAAACGGCAGCACCCACUUACUGCACAUGAGCCAAACUGAGGAAGGGAUGGAGGAGGCGUGAGUCGAACAACCGACGUGUGCAGCGGAAACUCGGCGAUGCUCAACUGGGACCGGGAUCACGAAAAAACACCUUUACCUCGAGGCGAAAAAGUGUCCCCUGCAGGACCUCCAGAAGAAACACCAGUCCCCGCAACGGUACCUUGCACAAGAAUGUGCCAACCUGCACUAUUAAUCCAGCUAGGUUUUCAUGGACAUUUUCAUUAAUUUUAUUGCCCUUGAAGUUAUUAAAGUGCUAAUUUGUUUUAAAAAUGAGUACGUGUCAACUUCACUUAAGAGGUUCCAUGUAAAUGUGCAUGGGAAAGUGUGCAGAUGUGUGCAUUUUUAAAAUCCAGUUGCUACCCUCAGCACUGCAUAGAUAAACUUAUUGCUAGUGAAGCUGCAA
rnacentral:lncRNA from 1 species